GAGUUUGAUCAUGGCUCAGGAUGAACGCUAGCGGCAGGCUUAACACAUGCAAGUCGAGGGGUAGAGUUAGCUUGCUAACUUGAGACCGGCGCACGGGUGCGUAACGCGUAUGCAAUCUACCUUGUACAGGGGGAUAGCCCAGAGAAAUUUGGAUUAAUACCCCAUAGUGUUAUGAUGUGGCAUCACAUUAUAACUAAAGUUCCAACGGUACAAGAUGAGCAUGCGUCCCAUUAGCUAGUUGGUGUGGUAACGGCAUACCAAGGCAACGAUGGGUAGGGGUCCUGAGAGGGAGAUCCCCCACACUGGUACUGAGACACGGACCAGACUCCUACGGGAGGCAGCAGUGAGGAAUAUUGGUCAAUGGGCGCAAGCCUGAACCAGCCAUGCCGCGUGCAGGAUGACGGUCCUAUGGAUUGUAAACUGCUUUUGUACAGGAAGAAACACUCCCCUCGUGAGGGAGCUUGACGGUACUGUAAGAAUAAGGAUCGGCUAACUCCGUGCCA
rnacentral:rRNA from 1 species